CGCCCGCCCAGUGUGGACCAGGGCCCCGGCCAGGCGCCGCCACCGCCACGGCCGCAAUGGCCAGCUCCCAGAAGGCCCUGAUGCUGGAGCUCAAGUCCCUGCAGGAGGAGCCAGUGGAGGGCUCCCGGAUCACCCUGGUGGACGAGUCCGACCUCUACAACUGGGAGGUUGCCAUCUUCGGACCCCCCAACACCCUCUACGAAGGCGGCUACUUCAAGGCGCAUAUUAAAUUUCCUAUUGACUACCCAUAUUCACCACCUACCUUCAGAUUCUUGACCAAAAUGUGGCACCCCAACAUUUAUGAGAGUGGACAUGUAUGCAUUUCAAUUCUUCAUCCACCCGUAGAUGCCCCCCAGAGUGGUCAACUGAACUCCGAAAGGUGGAAUCCUACUCAGAAUGUUAGGACUAUCCUGUUAAGUGUAAUCUCAUUGCUUAAUGAGCCCAACAUCUUCUCCGCAGCCAAUGCGGAUGCUUCAGUUAUGUUCAGGAAAUGGAGGGACAGUAAAGGAAAAGACAAAGAAUAUGCUGAAAUCAUUAGAAAACAAGUUUCAGCCACUAAAGCUGAAGCAGAAAAGGAUGGAGUGAAAGUCCCCACGACCCUGGCAGAAUAUUGCAUCAAAACUAAAGUGCCUUCCAAUGACAACAGCUCAGAUUGGCUUUAUGACGAUUUGUACGACCUUGACAUUGAGGAUGAAGAGGAGGAGGAGGAAGAUGCUGACUGUGAUGACCAGGAUGAUUCUGGGAAUGAGGAGUCGUGACCUGCUCCUUCGAAGCCCCUGUACUGCCCUGCCAUCUCAGGCCAAAGGGAGGGGAGCAA